GAGACUAUUCUUUCAGGGAUUGUUUCUAUAGUUCUUUACUAGAGAAGUUUCUCUGAUCUUGUAGAGCACUGGAAACCGGGAGGAGGAGUCAGAGCAUCUUCUUCCUGAGUAUGAAGCUGGGUCUGAGUGUUGCUUUUGCAACUGCCUUUUGCAUUGAGGAUUGUUCUUCUCUUUCUUUGGAAGAGUGAGAGGGAGAGAACAUAGUCUGAGUGUU